AGCAACCUUACCUGGUUAAAGGUGGUUUCCAAUCUUGGUCAAAGAAUCUUCGCGUGAAAGAACUGAAACCUGAGACUGCAUUGACAGUAAUAAAUGAGGUAAUAAUUCACACCUGAGAAUCAUCUAUGCAAUCUUCUACACUUCUUGGCUAUCAUUUGAAUGAUUCUUGGGAUCUUUUGUGACUGUAGUGGAUUUAUAUUUCGUAUAUUAUUGGUUGCAUGAUAUAUAAAAGCGCUUGGCGUUGUCAUCACUCUCACAUUCCAGCCUUUUAUCACUAUCAAAUAGUGUCAACUUGAAUCAUUGUUCUGAACGUGUGUAGGAUGCUGAGGAAAUCCUUGAAGGCAUAAAGCCCACCCCUACACUUGUCUUUGGAUCUCUUCUGGUACAUACAUGCCACUUCUUCUUUUAUGGGUGUCUUUGCAGCUGAUGGCAUGCUUCUUUCUUGCUAAUUUCGAUUUCUUUCGUACAGGGCCUCUCAGCAGUGACUUAUGCCUUGCUAGGUAAGUAGAGUAUGGAGAUAGCAUGUAUGGUUUUUAGAAUGGGUCCUCUUGACACCAAGGGGUAUCAGAUAGUCUUGUGUUUUGCCAGAAAGGGCAGGAGCUGUGACACUCGACUUAAAGGACAAAUAGUUCAUGUACAAAGUACAAGGGAAUGGUCUUUAGGAUAUAUACACAUAAGAGGAAACUUCCUUUUGAUAGCAAAACUUGAUGCAAUUCGAAGUAUGGCAUUUUAGUAAAAUUAAGAAGGUAUUGCUUAGUGGAGUGUUUGCAGCUAAACAUCAGUUUUGAAAACCGCAUCUCCAUUACCUGGUAUAUACUGUUGUUCUGUUAAGCAUCGACCUAAACCACUUCCCAUUGUUUGAUUUAUUUGCUAUUUCACUUAAAUGUGCAUCAUUUGGCCUUUUUGACCUAAUGCCCACAGAUAUUUGUUAUCGGUCUUCUAAAUUCUAGUUAGGUGAAAUCUGUAAACUGCAAGCACUUCACAAACUACUUUUUGAUGAAUUGACUAUGGAUGUACGUGAUUGUAGAAUGGGAGACGACUUUGCAGUACAUCGGUGUUCUUAGUCUUGGGUUGGUAAGUACUCUCCGUUUUUAAAUGUUUUGCACAUAGCAUAUUUAUUUUUUGGUAUGUGUCAAUCAUGAUUGGAUAAAAGCAUCGUAAGUUUGUGCAAUUUUCUACUACCAUCGAUUACAAAAGUUCAAAUAUGUGUCCAUUGUCAAGUGUCAGCGACAAUGUUUAUGCCGUGUCACCUGAUAUUUUUCUACUGUCGUAGACGAUCUACCUACGGUUCUCUACAUAUGAGGGUUCGGAGGAUUUCCUGCAAGACCUAAAGUAAGUUCCCUUGCUUGUGACAUUUGUGUUCUGUGGUGCAUUUCCAUUCCAUCAUUUUGUAGUUCAGGUGUUUUAAGCAUGCACUGUUCAAACUUCAAGCACAAUUUAGAACCAUCACAAAUUUUCCUCCCCCUCUCCCUCUCUUUCCGCAGGCUGUUGCUAUCCCCAGUAAGAGUGGGCGCGGAAGCGCUCUCCUGGGCAGCUAAGAAGCUAGAGCCGAACAAGAUUGGCCUGGCGACGUCCCCAUCCACGACGGCAGUGCAGGACCGGGUUCUCAAAGCGGCAGCAAAGCAUGAAUCGAAGCCAUCUGAUGUGGAGGAGUCCAACAAGACAGACAGUUUUGCCUCCGAGGCAUGAGAAGCUCCCUGUGAGCGUGUGAACUGAAACCGUAGCCACUUCGCCAUCAGUCUGGCGAAUUGAUGUUUCUGAUGUUAGUAAUGGUACCAUGAGCCGCCGUGACGACGACCGGCAUUGUAAAUUUAUAAGCAGCAGUUUAUAUUAAACACUUGUUAGCAGAAGUCUUCAGUUAUU
rnacentral:lncRNA from 1 species